AUUGGUGCCUUCGGGAACUGUGAGACAGGUGCUGCAUGGCUGUCGUCAGCUCGUGUUGUGAAAUGUUGGGUUAAGUCCCGCAACGAGCGCAACCCUUAUCCUUUGUUGCCAGCGGUCCGGCCGGGAACUCAAAGGAGACUGCCAGUGAUAAACUGGAGGAAGGUGGGGAUGACGUCAAGUCAUCAUGGCCCUUACGACCAGGGCUACACACGUGCUACAAUGGCGCAUACAAAGAGAAGCGACCUCGCGAGAGCAAGCGGACCUCAUAAAGUGCGUCGUAGUCCGGAUUGGAGUCUGCAACUCGACUCCAUGAAGUCGGAAUCGCUAGUAAUCGUGGAUCAGAAUGCCACGGUGAAUACGUUCCCGGGCCUUGUACACACCGCCCGUCACACCAUGGGAGUGGGUUGCAAAAGAAGUAGGUAGCUUAACCUUCGGGAGGGCGCUUACCACUUUGUGAUUCAUGACUGGGGUGAAGUCGUAACAAGGUAACCGUAGGGGAACCUGC
rnacentral:rRNA from 1 species